UACGUACGUUGCAAGCGUUGUCCGGAUUUAUUGGGUUUAAAGGGUGCGUAGGUGGCUGUUUAAGUAAUGGGUGAAAGCCCACAGCUCAACUGUGGAACUGCCUGUGAUACUGAAUAGCUUGAGUGCGGUUGAAGCAGCUGGAAUUGGUGGUGUAGCGGUGAAAUGCAUAGAUACCACCAGGAACACAGAUUGCGAAGGCAGGUUGUUAAGCCGUAACUGACACUGAGGCACGAAAGCGUGGGGAUCAAACAGG
rnacentral:rRNA from 1 species